AUGCCAGUUUCAGCAGCACAUAUACUAAAAUUGGAAUGAUACGGAGAAGAUUAGCAUGUCCCCUGCAUAAGGAUGACAUGCAAAUUCACGAAGCGUUUCAUAUUUUA
ensembl:snRNA U6 U6 spliceosomal RNA